GAAAAAGCGACUGCAAAAAGGCAGAUCCAAGAAGAAAUAGACGAGGGUCGCCUUAUAUUAGCCGACCAAGAAAAUGAAAAGAAGGUAAUUAACGAAAGUUCGUUUCUUUUUCAGGUCAAUAUGGUGAAUGUUAAAGGGAAAGAGAUUGCGGACCAGGUGACCGUAGAUAAUGUGGCACAUGCCAAAAAACAUCUUCGGCUUUGCAUAAGGUGCAAGGCCGAAAUGACAAAGAAA
rnacentral:lncRNA from 1 species